AUUGCUGCACACCACUGAAAAGAGCCUGGUCUCAUCCAUUUGGCUCCUGCGCUUCAGAUGUUUAUAAACAGUGUUGAGAUCCCCACUCGGUCUUCACUCCUCCAGGCAGAACAGCCCCAGGUCUCUCAGCCUUUCCUCACAGUGGAGAUGCUUCAGACCCCUCAUCAUCUUGGUGGCCCUAAAUGGACUCUCUUUAGAAGUUCCCCACCUUUCUUGGACAGAGGAGCCCUAAACUGGACAGGGUACUCCAGAUGUGAUCUCACCAGAGGUCCGUCAGGCAGAAGCACUGCCAAUAUUCCAAGCCCAGUCCAUUUCUAAAAAGGCUCUGAAACCAUCACAUCCGUGGAUGGCUUUCUUGAUGCCUGAAAGUUUAGUUUUAAAAAGUGAAAAAUGUCAGAUGCCAGAGACAAAAUUGUUCUAACACAUUUGGGUGUGUGCGGAGUGUCAGCAAAGGCAAUUUGCUGUAGGAUGCCCAGCAGCUCCUUCAUUCUCAGCCACUGACUGCUGCUUUGUCUCAAGGACCAACUUGGAACCGUUUCUUACCUGUGUUUAACUGCACUUCAUCAGCUGUUCUGGCCACUUGACCUUGAUGUUAGAAAGCUGAGGAAAGAUGGUCAAAUUUUAAGAAGUAUCUGUCACUCAUGGAUAAAUCUGCCAAGGCAUUCAUCUCAAAGUGCCGUACAGCCAGCCAGCUAUUUCUGCAUAGCGAGGACAAGUCUGCACGUGCAAGCCACUUAUCUGGAUAAGAACAAGAUCUGGAUCUUCCAGGAGAGGCAGGAGCACCUGGUGCUGUUGUAUGGAAAGUGGUGCAAUACACUGUGCCUGAAGGGAGCUCCUCAGUGCCGGAGUUGGACACAUCCAUGGAUGGUGCCUGCACAGCUUCACUGUGCAGUUUGUUCCACUGCUUGUUGAUCUCAUAGCAGAAGGUUCUUUAUCUCCCAUUUGACCUCCUCUUGUCCACUGUCUGUUUUCCUCCUACCACAGAUUUGGUGACUCUGAUAACUGCCUCAUAGUUAGUGGAGGCUGCUCUUUACUUCAUGAAGAUAUUUCAUCCCUGGUCUGGACAAGUCCUGGUCCACCAGCCUUUCCUCACAGGGCUGAUAUCCAAAUACUAAACAUUAAGAGGGCUUAGCAGCAACUUUAUAAACUUAGUUCUUGCAACAGGGCUGAAAUUUGGAUGCAAGAUUGUAAAUGAGAUCUAAUUAACACUAUAUAGAAGGGAAUACUCUCAAUUUAACUCCUCUCAAUACAUUGUCCAUGCUCCUUCUGAUGUAGCCCAGGCUGCAUCAGGCUCUUGAUCUUCCUCCCUGCCAGAGCAAACUACAGAAAAUUUUAUAAGGUUCCUGUUGGCCCAUUCCUCCAGCUGCCCAGGUUUCUCUGAGUGGCAGUCCAUGAUGAUGGCUGUCCCCAUCAUCAUGGUGUUUGGUGUCAGCUGCAGACUUGAUGAGGGUGAGUUCUUGCUCCACCUCCAUGUCACUGACAAAAGUGGUAAAUCAGAUACACGGCAGAAUAAAUCUAGAACUGUGCUUAUAAGGGCCUCCAAAUACAAUAUUAUCAAGCUCAACAAAGAAGACAGUUAUUCACUCAUCUACUAAUCUGUUCAUUUAGACCAGUAUGUUCCAGUUAGGAUACAAAGAUGUUGCUCAAGUGAGAAAUUUCAUCUCAGUAGGGAAAAUUAAUUUACAGUGAGGGUAAACACUGCAGUAAGUAUCCAGGGGGGCUGUGGAGUUUCCAGCUUGGAGAUACUCAAAAUCCAACUGGACAAGACCCUGGGUAAUCUGCUCUGCUUUGGAUAGGGGUGGGAUGAGAGACCUCUGGAGUCCCACAGUGCCUACAUCAUUAUGAUUCAUAAUACAAUCUUGGAGAUCCAUGUAGGCUAUUCCCAAUCACCCUCAUCUCAUUCAUGUAACAAAGCUUUCCCCAGAGAGGCUUGAUAACAGCACAAACAGCAUACCUACCACGGAAUGUUACUUAUUCCAAAGGCCAUAAAAUCAGCUCCUUCAAGCAAAUUAAUACACAACUUGAAACUCAUGUUCAUCACGUAUAGAAUACAAGUUGUAAAACUACUAAGCAUCAUCCUUAGCAUACUUGCAUGCUAUCAUAGCAGUUUAUUCUGUUUCACUCCUGGUCCUCUUGGUGUCCAUACCGCAUUCAUGCUGGUUUGCCCCAGGCUCUCACACAGAGACAGCCAACCAGCUCCCUCCCAGAGGGCACAAAAUUCCCAGUUCCUGGCUUCAGGGACACAAGACACUCUGCCACAUGGUAGCUCAGAUUUUUCUUUCCUAUGUGUCAGCGUUUACCUUCUGAGAAACCCAGCAAUGAUGUAGGUUUGCUUUUAGUCUCAUCAUGCCAAGAUACUCGUUUCACUGUGUUGCUUCAUCUGAAGUAGAUGAACGCUCUCCUACAGGGCAGCUAGGAGCUGGUAGAACAGCUGAAGGAUGUAAAAGCACUCAAUGGCUGAAAUCCUUGACUUCUCAGCAAGGGGAGAAAACAUGACUGUGAGGCAAAGCCUGAAGUCAUGGCACAACUGUUCAGUAUUUUUAAGGAAGUAUACAUCUCGAGCAGGCUGGGGCAGCUCCAUGCUGCUGCUACAUUGCUACUGUCACGCUGCCACUGCCACCCAAGCCAACCCCACAGAGAGCAGCCCGACGGAGUUCACCCAUAUUGCAGAUGCACCUUUGGUUGCAGUGUGGGCAUGCUCUGCACAACUGAUGGUAAUCACCAUAAGGACACACAACAUCUGCAGCCCUCCCUGCCACCAUCUCCCUGCCCUCUGUAAGGAUCCAACAUCGCUGGUGUGGAAGCAGCUGCUGGCGUGGCUUCAGUGGGAGCAGAGAAAGCCUUCACUGCCCUGCAUAGGUGCAGAGGCAGCCUUGAGGGCACACAGU